GCUGGGCACGGUGGCGCAUGCCUAUAAUCCCAGCAGCUUGGGAGGCUGAGGCAGGAGGAUUGAAAGUUCAAACUCAUCCGCAGCAACUUAGUGAGGCCCUCAGCAACUCAGUGAGACCCUGUCUCUA
rnacentral:sRNA from 1 species